CAUGGAGCUGUAGCGAGGCUGCGUCAGUGUAAAAGAGCAGAAAUCCCCGGAGGUGUGAAGAAUCUCCGUGUGUUUUUUAAUGAAGAACAAACUCACUGUUCAGUUGUGAGGGAAUUAAUUCAUGCCUCUUAGUCGGUGUCAUUCUCUCCAUGGAGCUGCAAUUGAAAGGGAUGCUUCUGGUGUGAUGUGCGGCCCCCUCCCGCGUUCUCAGAAGAACCAAGUUGGCAAGGCCUGGCUCCGGGUUGGUGAGCUGUGCCCAAGGUGAGAGAGUUGACUCUUGUGGGCUUUGAGACAUUUCUUCCAGUUGCACGCUGUGUUAUUUCCGUUGUGUUGACCUCUUGAGCUCCAGCCCCAAGUGAGGAUCCGAGCAGUAGUGCAGAAGGGACGGUUUAGACUGGAAGUGCAACGCAAAGGGCGGGAGCUAGCAGGAGCAGGGAAGUGAUCAUCCCCCUGUACUCAGCACUGGUGCUGGACAUAGCCGGGAACGGGACUGGGGGAUAUGCCAGCAGUGGGUUCCUACCUCAGCAGAACGGAAGGGCUGUUCUGAUGGUUGUAUUGAACUGGAGUGAAUCUGACGCUGAUGAGAGAGAUGAGGGGUGUGUGGAAAAAAAGGAGUGUGCUGCAUUUUGUGGUGCAAGAUGUUCUGGGAACUGCUGCUAGCAAUGCCCAGCAGGCUUCCUUUUGCUGGGGAGAGGUUUAGCAAGGAUUUUUUUAUAUGA